GGUCUCGUGGCGAAAUGGAAUCGCGUCUGACUACGAUCACGUACGUACGUUGUGUGUAUCAAGGGAGUAAAUCAGGAGAUUGCAGGUUCGAGCCCUGCCGGGAUCA